CCUGUAGGUUGUUUAUUAAGUCCGUUGUUAAAGCCUAGGGCUCAACCCUAGAAAAGCAAUGGAAACUAGUAGACUAGAGUAUGGCAGGGGUAGAGGGAAUUUCUAGUGUAGCGGUGAAAUGCGUAGAUAUUAGAAAGAACACCGGUGGCGAAAGCGCUCUACUGGACCAUUACUGACACUCAGAGGCGAAAGCUAGGGUAGCAAAAG
rnacentral:rRNA from 1 species